rnacentral:ncRNA from 1 species
UAAUUGAAGAGUUUGAUCAUGGCUCAGAUUGAACGCUGGCGGCAGGCCUAACACAUGCAAGUCGAGCGGUAACAGAUUGAUAGCUUGCUAUCAAUGCUGACGAGCGGCGGACGGGUGAGUAAUGCCUGGGAAUAUGCCCUGAUGUGGGGGAUAACUAUUGGAAACGAUAGCUAAUACCGCAUAAUCUCUUCGGAGCAAAGAGGGGGACCUUCGGGCCUCUCGCGUCAGGAUUAGCCCAGGUGGGAUUAGCUUGUUGGUGGGGUAAUGGCUCACCAAGGCAACGAUCCCUAGCUGGUCUGAGAGGAUGAUCAGCCACACUGGAACUGAGACACGGUCCAGACUCCUACGGGAGGCAGCAGUGGGGAAUAUUGCACAAUGGGGGAAACCCUGAUGCAGCCAUGCCGCGUGUAUGAAGAAGGCCUUCGGGUUGUAAAGUACUUUCAGUUGUGAGGAAGGCAGUAAAGUUAAUAGCUUUGCUGUUUGACGUUAGCAACAGAAGAAGCACCGGCUAACUCCGUGCCAGCAGCCGCGGUAAUACGGAGGGUGCGAGCGUUAAUCGGAAUUACUGGGCGUAAAGCGCAUGCAGGUGGUUUGUUAAGCAAGAUGUGAAAGCCCGGGGCUCAACCUCGGAACAGCAUUUUGAACUGGCAGACUAGAGUACUGUAGAGGGGGGUAGAAUUUCAGGUGUAGCGGUGAAAUGCGUAGAGAUCUGAAGGAUACCGGUGGCGAAGCGGCCCCCUGGACAGAUACUGACACUCAGAUGCGAAAGCGUGGGGAGCAAACAGGAUUAGAU